ACCAGCAGCCAUCUCACCCUGCAACUCACAACUGGCAACCCACUAAAGCUAAGCAGGUGUGAGCCUGGUCAGUACCUGGAUGGGAGACCUCCUGGAUAAAACUAAGGUUGCUAUUGGAA
rfam:Lepisosteus oculatus linkage group LG10, whole genome shotgun sequence.